GCGCAGCCGGGGCUGGCGGGCGGCAGGGUCCGCGGGGCCGCAGGAGAUGACGGCCGGCGGCCAGGCCGAGGCCGAGGGCGCUGGCGGGGAGCCCGGCGCGGCGCGGCUGCCCUCGCGGGUGGCCCGGCUGCUGUCGGCGCUCUUCUACGGGACCUGCUCCUUCCUCAUCGUGCUUGUCAACAAGGCGCUGCUGACCACCUACGGUUUCAAGCAUACUGAAAACGGGAAAGCAAAGGAGGAGUGAACAGGGCACACACAGUACUGGGAUUCCCCUCCAGCCUUUGAAAUUUCCCGUCACCAAUUUUCCUUGGAAUUGGACAGAUGGCAGCCACCAUAAUGAUACUAUAUGUGUCCAAGCUAAACAAAAUCAUUCACUUCCCUGAUUUUGAUAAGAAAAUUCCUGUAAAGCUGUUUCCUCUGCCUCUCCUCUACGUUGGAAACCACAUAAGUGGAUUAUCAAGCACAAGUAAAUUAAGUGAUGGGGUCUUUCAAUGUUGCUGUGUUACCCAGACUCAAAUGCAGUAGCUUUCACUGGUGCAAUCAUGGCUCACUGUGGCCUCAAACUCCUGGGCUCAAAUGAUUCUCCAUCUCAGCCUCUUGAGUACCUGGGACUGCAGCCUACCGAUGUUCACCGUGCUCAGGAAAUUCACCAUUCCACUUACCUUACUUCUGGAAACCAUCAUACUUGGGAAGCAGUAUUCACUCAACAUCAUCCUCAGUGUCUUUGCCAUUAUUCUCGGGGCUUUCAUAGCAG
rnacentral:sRNA from 1 species